UUAGUCAGUGUAGCAUUUAAA
ensembl:piRNA 21ur-13057 ncRNA